rnacentral:lncRNA from 10 species
AGGAACUGGACACAAUUAUGGAGGCUGAGAAGUCCCAUGAUCUGCUGUGUGCAAGCUGGAGACCCAGGAAAGCUGGUGGUGUCAUUCAGUCUUGGUCUGAAGAUCUGAGAGCCAGGGAAGCUGACGGUGUUACUCUCAAUCUGAGGUCAAAGGCCUGAGAACCAGCGGUCUCAGUAAUGUCCACAGAAACCCAACUGUCGCAGAAACCUGAGUGGUAAAGUGUCAGCAGCAGGAGUUCUGAAUAACAUUUCAGGGGCAGAAAAACCGCACUGGCCUUUCCUUCAAUGAAUGACAACUGGGAAAAGUUAAAAACUCAAAGGCCAAAUAUUAUGUCAAACCAGUAAUGGAGGUACAGAAAACAUCAGAAAAAUAGAAUAUCAGAAGUCAAAGAGGGAUUUAUCUUUCCUAGUUCUAUUCUCUACUGGAUGGAUAAUCUUAUUCCCUGGGGGUUGCUGGAAGAAGAGAGGUGAGUCUUACUUUUUUAUAGCAAGUUGUUAUGGGGGAAAAAAAUCUGUACCAAAGAAACCAACUUUUUUUCUGUAAUAAAAACGUAUUUUUGGGCUAGGCACGGUGGCUCACACCUGUAAUCCCAGAACUUUGGGAGGCCAAGGCAGGCGAAUCACUUGAGGUCAGGAGUUUGAGGCCAGCCUGGCCAACAUGGUGAAACUCCUGUCUCUACUAAAAAUAAAAAAAUUAGCCAAGUGUGGUGACGCACACCUGUAAUCCCAGCUACUCAGGAGGCUGAGGCAAGAAUCACUUGAACCCGGGAGGCAGAGGUUGCAGUGAGCCGAAAUCAUGCCAUUACACUCCAGCCUGGGCAAUAAGCAAAACCUCCAUCUCAAAAAAAUGUAUAAAACCAAAUUUUUGGUUUUAGCUUCAUUCUGUUUUUAAAUCUCUCUAGGUAUGAUGAUGUCCCUGGCAUUUUUCUUCCAAAAAAAACAUCCAAAGUGGAAGUUUUUUCUUAAAGAAUACAUUUCUUACGUUAAACUUAACGAAAUGUUAAAAUCUAAAUUUUAAGACAAUACAAUAAAAAUACCUUGGGCAUAAUGCAAAGACUUAUAUUUAAGGAAUUUCAGGCUAAAGUUCAUUAUAUUGAUUUCUAGUUUAUUAGCAUUAUCAACAAUAGUAAUGGUGUGUAAGUUUAGUCUAUCAGACAAGACACUAUUCAGAUAACAGGAGACCUGGAAUGGUGACUAAAAUAGGUAUUGGUCCCAAUUUGCAGAAAACCGCUCUCAUCUUAAACUCUCACUUUCCUGUCGUUCAGUUUAAGAGUUUGAUUUAUUUUGUAAACAAUAAGCUGUACAACUCUGUAUGUUGCCAAUUAGAAAUAACUUUGUUAUUUUUUUCAAAGGGGGUUUUCUGGGUAUGGUGUGCAUACACGUGAAUUUAAAUAUAGGGCCAGGCAUGGUGGCUCACGCCUGUAAUCUCAGCUCUCUAGGUGCCACUUUAAAUUUGAAGCUUAUUUUUAGAGCUCCUAAAAGGAUGCCUCGCUGAAGUUAUUAAAGGGCUCCUAACACUAACAAUUUGUUGACAUACUGUCUGUUUCUUCAUCUUCUGUCUAAAGAACGUUAAGUGCCUCUCCCCUGCUACCAAGUCAGAGAGCAUAUGAAUAAAAAUUAAUAAUCUGUAGGUGUUUUAGCAGGUUACAUCUGGGGGGUCUUGAGAAGUGAGACAGUGGAAGAGUUUAUUGUUCAUUGAGUCAAAAUGUCAUGGCUAGUAUCCACCAGCUAAAGCUAAGUUCCAUAAUACAGAACCACUUAUUUUAGGCAGGAAGAUAACAGCCCUGUCUUCAGAGAUCUAGUUUACAUUACAUGCAACUUGCUUUGAAACAUUUUCCUAUCCUCAUAUUUCUCAUAUUUUCUUAUUCUAAUAGCAUCCCUGUCCUAGUUUCUGGGUGUGUCACUGGUUUAAGAGCGUUAACAAUACAGAUCUCCAGGGAACAUCUUCACCUUACAGGUGGGGAAAUGCAGGACGAAAGAAAUUUGCAGGCCAGGUGCCGUGGCCCGUGCCCGUAAUCCUAGCACUUUGGGAGAUCAAGGCAGGUGGAUCACUUGAGCCCAGGAGUGGAGUUUAAGACCAGCCUGGCAAACAUGGUGAAACCCUGUCUCCACACAAAAAAUACAAAACUUAGCGGAGCGUGGUGGCACCCAACUAUAGUCCCCGCUACCCAGGAGUCUAAGGUGGGAGGAUCAUGUUAGCCCGGGAGGUUGAGUCUGCAGCAACCCAUGAUCAUGUCACUGCAUUUCAGCCUGGGGUGACAGAGUGAGACCCUGUCUCCAAAAAAAACUAAAAAGAAAACGAAGUUUGCAAAGUCUCCAAGUUUAAGCUAUGAGUGAGUGGCUCUGACAGGGUCCAAUCUAAAUCUACCUGGCUGCAAAGCCAGUGCUCUCUCCCAUACCACACACAUACUUCCUUCCCAAAGUAUUCCCACAUUUUGGUUUUCAGUAUGCUGAUGGAUUUCAGGCUUAUGGAUUUCACUGUUCCUUUUUAUGCCAAGCGAGCACCUCUAUAGCAUUUGUUGCACAAUUAGCAAUUCUAUAGCUAAAAACAGGGAUGUUAAGAAAUCUAUAAAGCUGUCCUGUGUGAAUGAGGCUUAGGAUGUUCAUUUACAGAGCUUUCUCUGUCAGUGUUUGGGUUGUGCAUACAUGUGUUUGUGAUUCUUAUUUUUUAUUUAUUUAUUUAUUUUUUUUUUUUUGAGACAGAGUCUUGCUCUGUCACCCAGCCUGGGAAGUGCUGCUAUCUUGGCUCACCGCAAACUCUGCCUCCUAAGUUCAAGCGAUUCCCCUGCCUCAGCCUCCUGAGUAGCUGGGAUUACAGGCGCCUGCCACCAUGCCCGGCUAACUUUUGUAUCUUUAGUAGAGACGGGGUUUCACCAUGUUAGCCAGACUGGUCUCAAACUCCUACUCAGGUGAUCCGCCCUCCUCGGCCUCCCAAAGUGAUGGGAUCACAGGCGUAAGCCACUGCGCCCGGCCACAGUCUAAUAGUUAUGAUGAUGAUGACCAUCACCAUGAUGUGCUGUUGUCAUCCAUCUUACAGAUGAGGAAACCAAGCCCUGGUCAGUUGGCUCCAAAUUCAAUAUGAGAAUGAGACAAGCUUUCUAUUUUGUUACACCACCCUUGUUAUUUGGGGUGUUCCUGUUCUAAAAGUCAAAAUUAGGUGACAUAGCAAUAUUAAUAUCCCAUCUUUUCUAAAGCAGACCUUAUGUGGGACAAGUACCUCUGAUCUUUCCUUCAAAAUUCCUUUUUCAAAAAAUAGCUCUUGCCAACCUAAGCAGUUUUUUUGCAAGUCUUGUUAACGCAGAACUUUCACUUUUUAAAAUCCUAUUUCUAGAAGCACCUUCUGCCUUUUCUCCAUGUCCUUGUUUUUGUAGCCCUUUUACACAUGAUCUUUCAAAAGCAAUAAACUUAUUUAUAUCCUGUCCCAUUUGGAAAUGGAUGGAAGGUGACUGCUUGAAGAUCUCAGACAAUUUCAUACUCAAAUUUCACACUUCAAAAGGAACCCAAAAUAUGCCUUUCCUGAGUCUUGGCCAUGUCGGAUCUGAGCCAUCUCUAAAAUAUGGGUCCUUAGUGUCAUUCUCAAAGCUUUUUUAAAAGCAGAUACUGCCAACUUGCUUAGUAAUGAAUUCACCCUCUCAAACCAGAUAUUUAAUAUUUUUUAAAAAACAUUGUUUUUGUAACAGCUAUGUAUUUAAAGAUUUGCAGAGAUAAUACAAACAGUUCAGAGACAUGUCUCACAGCCAGCUUCUUCAAUUAUUAACAUCUUCCAUUAGUAUGGUACAUUUGUCACAAUUAUUGAACCAGUAGUGACAAUGUUAUUAACUGAAGUCCAGCUUUGAUUUCGUUCAUUUUCUUUGGUUUAUUUUCAAUUUCAGUGAUUUCUGCUCUAAUUUUUAUUUUUUUCUCUGUUUGCAUCACUCUUAUUCUUUUCUAUAGUUUCCUUUCCUAUAGCUUAUUGAUUUUAGAUAUUUCUUUUCAUCUAAUAUAUAUAUUUAAUGCUAUAAAUUUCCUUCUAAGCACUGCUUUCACUGCAUCCCACAAAUUUUGAUAAGUUGUAUUUUUAAAAAUUUUUACUGUUUUAUUAUUUUUUUAAAGAGACAGGAGACUCACUAUGUUGCCCAGGCUACUCUCAAACUCCUGGCCUCAAGUGAUCCUCCCGCCUCAGCCUCCCAAAAUGUGAUAUAAAACCAUAUUGUUACAUUUCUUGUUUCAUUUCCUGUGAACUUGGAAACUUAAAACUCCUUGUCUCACUGUAAAACAGAUCAUGACGUUUUAUAGUUGAAAUAAUCAGUGCUGAUAAUGGGGUGUAAAAUUUGCAGAGGCACAGAAAAACUCAGUGAUUGCAAUAAAUAUUUUAAUGCAAUACUUUUAGUUCAUGUAAAACAUUUAUAAUGAAUAAAAUAAGAAUUUAAUAACAUCAGGACCAAUAUAUUAUCUAAAGAGCGGAAGUCCCUCCCACAUGGACCAAACAUGGAACCUACUCUUUUAUUGCUCAGCACAACUGAGACAGGUUGCAGCCUUUAGUAAGACUUAACUCAACGUUCAGGACUUAACUCGAAUGACAGAAAGUCAUUUCAAUGCAAUACACAGUUUUAUUUCAGCUGCCAAUGGAUACUGCAGCUUUCAGAGCUCUUCGUCCAGGAGCCAUCUUUACCGGAUGCCUUGGCCCAGUGUGCAUGAGGAUAGAAAGUAUGUAAUCCUCUACCCAGACAGAGUACCUUUGAGCUAGUCUCCUGACACUGGUAUCCCGUGCUACCAGCAAAGAUCUAUACAACAGAAACAGGUGCCAUACAGUUUCUCCUUGCCAAGCCAAUCUAAGGACUGAGUUGUCAGUCCUAAUUUCCUCAUUUAGAAUGCACCUCUUUCUGAAAUAACUGAUGAGAAUAUCCUUUUGCAUCAACAAAAACUUUGCCUAUAGGGCUUGGAAUUUGUCAUAGGGCAUCGGUAAGAAAUCACACCAGAAUACAUUAGUAUAAUAUCAGAACCUUUCUCCAAAUAUGUAUGAUUCUGUUUUAAUAGCUUCACAUGCAAGAGAUCAAAAUUAUAGUCCAGGCUCAAUUCUACUUUAUCACUUGAGUUCCCUCUUUGUGUGAGAUGAAGAUCUGCCCUCACGUAUUUUCUAUCAAUGGCUAAGUCUCAACCCUGCAUCACUCAUGAAUAAUUUCUUUAACAACAACAGAAGCAACAACAAGAACAAGACACACUCUCUCACACCCACACGCACACACCCCUACCUCCAUAAGAAAGAGUAGCAGAUCAUAGGCAUAGUGUAGCUUAAAUUUAAAAAGGGAAAUAAACUCUUUAUAAAAAUGCCACCCGGCCCCGCGCGAUGCUUACGCCUGUUAUCCCAGCACUUUGGGAGGCAGAGGCAGGCGGAUCACAAGGUCAGGAGACUGAGAUCAUCCUGGCCAACAUGGUGAAACCCCGUCUCUACUAAAAAUACAAAAAUUAGCUGGGCUUGGUGGUGCGUGCCUGUAAUCCCAGCUACUCGGGAGGCUGAGGCAGGAGAAUCGCCUGAACAAGGGAGUUGGAGGUUGCAGUGAGCCGAGAUUGCACCAGCUUGGCGACAGAGCAAGACUCCAUCUCAAAAAAAAAAAAAAAAAAAAAAAAAAAAAAAAGGGCUGCUCUACCUCCUCAACUCCUCUAUGUCACUCUUGCUCUCUCAUUCUCUCAUGAUGUCACAGAACAUUCUACCUCCUUAGAAAUUACUCUUUUGGUUAAACUAUCAGCUUAAUAUGGAUAUAAUCAAAUAAUCCCUUCUGGUGGUUUUCCCAGAAGCAAGGUCUCAGGAUAUAUUUAGGCCUCACCUCCUGCGAGGUUUCUACCAGCAUAUUUAAGGUUUUGAAAAUAUUAGAACCAAAUUUUACCUAGGGCGCCAUGUUACAAUUACCGUAAUGUAUUUCAGCACAUCCUCACCAGUUACUAAUGAAAAUUUCAAAAUUUCACUGGUCCUAAAAAAUAAGGAUAAAUAUAUGAGAUGCUUAAAAAGUUAAAUGUAUUUAAAGAAUACUCCUUUAUUCUUUGAUUACAUCACUAGUACAUCCUUUUUCUGUUAAUUUAUUAAAUUAUAAUGUCAUAGGUUUUGUUUUGUUGUUCGUUGCUUGUUUGGUUUUGAGAAAGGGUCUUGCUGUGUCACCCAGCCUGGAGUGCAGUGACCAUCAUGGCUCACUGCAGCCUCUACCUCCUGGGCUCAAAUGGUCCUCCCACCUCAGCCUCCUGAAUGGCUGGGACUACAAGGCAUACAUGACCAUGCCUGGGUAAUUUUUAAAUUUUUUGUAGAGAUGGGGUGUCUCACUGUGUUGCCCAGGCUGGUCUUGAACUCCUAAUCUCAAGCAGUUUUCCUGCCUUAGCCUUCCACAGUGUCGGGAUUACAGGCAUGAGCCACUGCACCCAGCCAUGUUUUUUAAUUCUGAUUUUACAAAAUACAAAUUUUGAAAGCAUGUGUCAUCCACCUCAGGUUGUUGGCUUGUGGGUUUGUUGUUGUAGCUUACUAUGGGCUGAAUUAUGUUCCCCCUGUCCCCAAGCCCCUGAUUCAUAUAUUGAGGUCCAAACCCCAGAAACUUAGAAUGUGACUGUAUUUGAAGAUAGAGUCUUUAAAAAGGUAAAUUAAUUAAAAUGAGGUUAUUAGGGUGGGCCUAAUAACCCACCUUUUGACUGGUAUCCUUAAUAACGGGAGGAACUUCCGAUACAGACAAGCAACAGAAGGAAGAUGACAUGGCCAAGUGUGGCGGCUCAUGCAUAUAACCCCAGCACUUUGGGAGGCCGAGGCAGGCGGAUCACCUAAGUUCAGGAGUUCGAGACAAGCCUGGCCAACAUGGUGAAACCCCAUCUCUACCAAAACAUACAAAAAUUAGCCAGGCGUGGUGGUAUGUGCCUGUAAUCACAGCUACUCAGGAGCUGAGGUGGGAGAAUCGCUUGAACCUAGGAGGCA